rnacentral:lncRNA from 1 species
UACAAUAAGUAUCGAGCAUUAUCAAAAUAGUAAUGAUAAGAUUAUCCUAACAAUGACACAAAACUAGUUAAAAUAAUAACACCCGUCAAGCAUGUAUGAACAUUGAUAAUCCGGUACACUAAAUUAACUCCUAUACAUAAAAAUAAUGCACAAGAACUAGUACACUAUGCUCAAAAAUAUCUAGAUGAAAUUAUACCAAACUAUAUUAAAAUCUAUACACAUGUCUAACACACCACAAUAAACAAUACGAAAAUAUAAUAUCUACUUGCGACAACAUGUAAAACAGUUUUCUAAUAAUUUAAACAAUCCUACAAAUAAAUUCAGUAACUCACAUGCUACUAAAAAUUACAAGGUAAAUAUGAGUUAUUCCCAGGCAUAUUAUGGAUAUUAUAAAUAAGAAAUUCAUAAAAAGUUCAACGAUCUACAACCACAAUAGAUCAUGCCAGAACGACUAUAACAAAAAUAUAUAAUAAGACUCGAUUAACCAAACAAGUAAUCUAACUCCACCACGGGCUUGCUGCAUCCACACAAAGCGCUUCACCUACUCGGAACAAAACCAGACGAUAAACAAAAAAAAUGAUGACCAUGACCUACGGUUCAUGCGAUGGAUAACAUCGGCGCGGACAAUAACAAAAUUAGUUGGAAUAGGGAUAUCUAGGAGAUAAUAUGAGUGAUGCCUAGGAGGUAUGCAAAAUGAAUUGGAUACUUGCUCACCGAACAUGAAGAUACAAUGCGAUUAAUUCGACGAACAGUGUACACGGACAUGCGAAAUUCUUCGCGUGUGGUUGACGGAUCGCGUUCUUUCUUCUCUGAAUGAAGCUGCGGCUUGGGGAAGAAUCUUCUGGCGCAAGGGAUAGGAUGAAGAUGCUUGGAGUCGUCGGGAACGAGCACUCGCGUCCAUGGAGUAGAGGAGCGUUCUUGGAGAGAGGUGGAAGGGAGAGGGUAGGGAUGCUACGGGAAUUAAAAGAGGAGGUUGGGGCGCACAUAUAUAUAGUCACUGAUUUGGAAACGGUAAAGAAUUGAAGGAGUUAGAGAAGGGCUAUCUAUGGUUG